CCCUUAGAUGUUCUGGGCCGCACGCGUGCUACACUGAGUGGAUCAGCGGGUCAGGUUGCGCGAAAGCGUUUCCUAAUCUUUAAAUCCGCUCGUGAUGGGGAUUGACGGUUGCAAUUUUCUGUCAUGAACGAGGAAUACCUUGUAAGCGCGGGUCAUCAUCCCUCGCUGAAUACGUCCCUGCCCUUUGUACACACCGCCCGUCGCUCCUACCGAUUGAGUGGUCCGGUGAGGCUUUGGGAUCUGAGCGGAAAGAGCGUUUCGCUGUUUCUGCUCGGAAAACUCAGUCGAACCUUAUCAUUUAGAGGAAGGAGAAGUCGUAACA
rnacentral:rRNA from 1 species